CUUUUCCUACGGGGCGCAGCAGUGGGGGAUAUUGCACAAUGGGGGGAACCCUGAUGCAGCGACGCCGCGUGGGUGAAGGAGCGUUUCGGCGCGUAAAGCCCUAUCGGCAGGGAAGAAGAUGACGGUACCUGACCAAGAAGCCCCGGCUAACUACGUGCCAGCAGCCGCGGUAAUACGGAGGGGGCAAGCGUUAUCCGGAUUUACUAGGGGUAAAGGGGGCGCAGACGGCAAUGCAAGCCAGGAGUGAAAGCCCGGGGCCCAACCCCGGGACUGCUCUUGG
rnacentral:rRNA from 1 species